GACGAACGCUGGCGGCAUGCUUCAUACAUGCAAGUCGAACGAUAAGGUCUCUUCGGAGAUACAUAAGUGGCGGACGGGUGAGUAAUAUGUAGGAAAUCUGCCCUAGAGAGGGGGACAACAGAGGGAAACUUCUGCUAAUACCCCAUAUGAGCGUACCUGAAAUGGUAUUCUUGAAAACUCCGGUGCUCUAGGAUGAGCCUGCAUCUGAUUAGCUAGUUGGCGGUGUAAUGGACCACCAAGGCGACGAUCAGUAGCUGGUUUGAGAGGAUGAUCAGCCACAAUGGGACUGAGACACGGCCCAU
rnacentral:rRNA from 1 species